UACGGGGGGGGCAAGCGUUGUUCGGAAUUACUGGGCGUAAAGGGCUCGUAGGUGGCCAACUAAGUCAGACGUGAAAUCCCUCGGCUUAACCGGGGAACUGCGUCUGAUACUGGAUGGCUUGAGUUCGGGAGAGGGAUGCGGAAUUCCCUGUGUAGCGGUGAAAUGCGUAGAGAGUGGGGGAGAACGACUCGUGGCGAAGGCGGCCAGCUAGACCAGUUCUGACACUGGAGGCGCGACAGCGUGGGGAGCAAACAGG
rnacentral:rRNA from 1 species